GCAAGCGUGAUCCUGGCUGGUGCCGGGCGCGGUCUUCAAAACCGUGGGCCAUUAGCGUGGCAGGGGUUCGAUUCCUCCUCGUCUGC
rnacentral:tRNA from 1 species